UACAGAGGUCCCAAGCGUUACUGAGAAUCACUGGGUUUAAAGGGUGCGUAGGUGGUCCGUUAAGUCAGUUGUGAAAUCCCCGGGCUCAACCCGGGAACUGCUUCUGAUACUGGCGGACUUGAGGCCGGUAGGGGUCACUGGAACUGACGGUGGAGCGGUGAAAUGCGUAGAUAUCGUCAGGAACGCCGGUGGUGAAGACGGGUGACUUGGCCGGUUCUGACACUGAGGCACGAAAGCGUGGGGAGCGAACAGG
rnacentral:rRNA from 1 species